CCCGGCGAAAGUCGGCUCCCGCAAGGGCAUCUGUCGAGGUGCUGCAUGGCUGUCGUCAGCUCGUGUCGUGAGAUGUUGGGUUAAGUCCCGCAACGAGCGCAACCCUUGUCCUCUGUUGCCAUCACGUUAUGGUGGGCACUCUGAGGAGACUGCCGGUGACAAACCGGAGGAAGGUGGGGAUGACGUCAAGUCAGCAUGGCCUUUAUGUCUGGGGCUACACACGUGCUACAAUGGCCGGUACAAACCGUCGCGAUCUCGUAAGAGGGAGCUAAUCGGAGAAAGCCGGUCUCAGUUCGGAUUGCAGGCUGCAACUCGCCUGCAUGAAGUUGGAAUCGCUAGUAAUCGCGGAUCAGCACGCCGCGGUGAAUACGUUCCCGGGCCUUGUACACACCGCCCGUCACAUCACGAAAGCUGGCUGUACUAGAAGUCGCUGCGCUAACCCGCAAGGGAGGCAGGCGCCUAAGGUAUGGUUAGUGAUUGGGGUGAAGUCGUAACAAGGUAGGCGUAGCGAG
rnacentral:rRNA from 1 species